ACGAGCCGGACUUCCUGGGAACCUGAUGUGGAAGCUCCUGAGGGCCGUGGGGCCGCGUCCACACGGACAGGAGCCCGGCCUCCUCAGGACCCGCUGCGGAGGCUUCUAGAGGACCCGGGGCGGUGUCCACAAGGACAGGAGCCCAGCUUCCUCAGGACCCGCUGUGGAGGAUGUGGGACCACAUCCACGCUGACAGGAUCAUCUCUGGAGGACAUGGGGCCGCGUCCGCACGGACAGGAGCCCGGCCUCCUCAGGCCCCGCCGUGGGAGGAGAAGGCCUCAGGACACAACUUCCUAAUGGAUGCCCAAAAUAAAUGGAGAUUAAGCACAGCAGAUGCUCACAGACACAAUUCAAAGUGCUGGGGGCUGGACGCGAACAGUUCCCAGGAAGGAGCUGGUUGGGGCACACGCCGCCUCUGCAGUGGCUCCCCGCAAAACAGAUGAUGAACACGAUGCUCACUUUUCGACUUUUUUCAUAAGAGCGAAAUCCUCUUCAGGUUUCCUCCUGUUAUUGAAGCCAGGUAAUGACAUAGACCUUUAAAAAAAAAAAAGGCCAUGUGUACCAUGAACUUUUAAAAAGUGAGGGAUACUUGUACUUGAAAGAUGCUGAGGGAGGAGAUGUUAAAUGUUCUCCCGGACACACACAUCAGCAGAUCCACCGUGAAAGGCACCUUCCUGAGCAGGCAGAACACAGACGACCUCCUACCCCCAGAAACCUCCUCCUUCCCCUCACUCAGGACAACCAGCCACAGCUGGGAGUUACCCCAAUUCCUCCUUUCUCCCAUGCCCAAUACCUAACCCAUCAGCAAAUCCAGUGAGCUCCAUCUUAAACGUAACCAGAAUAGGACUGACCACUCCUUCCAAGGCCACCUCUUGCCUGAGUUCCUGGAAAAGCUUCAUCAUGGACCUCCCUUGCCCAUCCUCAGCCCUCUGUCAUCUGUUCUCAACACUGUAGCCAGGAUGGCCCAGUGAAACAGGGUCCCAUGGGGUCACAGCACUGCAAUGGCUUUCUGUCUCCCUGUCACCUCCCUGAGGUCAUGUCCUAAGCUGUCUCCUGUGGCCAUAGGCCCUUCUUGCUACUUCUGGACAUACCUGGUAUGCUCCUGCCUCGGGACUUUUGCACAUGCUUUCCCUUCCGUUUAGAAUAUUCUUGACUUGGUAUCACUCACCUUCUUUAGAUCUUGACUCAAGUAUCAUGUCCCUAGUGAAGUCCCACCCGGCCCCUAUGUGACUAGCAAGCACCACCCCCACCUCCCCUUCAGCACCCCAGCCCUGUCUCCUGCUCUAUAUUUCCAUAGCAGUUAUCAGUCACCAGUCCAUCUCGGCAGGGCAGAAACAAAGGCCUACACUGAUGGUUUCACCACUGACUCCCUCCGAUUUCCUGGUCCAAAGCCCCGGGGGAAAAGGUGCCCCAGGGCUCUUGCACAGCCAGGAUGCCAAGGACCAGGCGGUCCACCGACUGCACCCUGAACACUAUCAGGAAAAUGAGCCACACGAGGAAUCCACCUGCCCAUGAGACCUGAAGCCAGACACCUUCCUCAAUUACAGGUGAGCACACACACUUCCUUCCCUUGCCUGAGGUGCGCAUCCGAGAAAGCUGAGCAGAGACCCAUCCCAGGAUCCAACUCUCCCUCUGGCCAAGGUCCUGGGAAACAGACAUCUCUCCUCCCUGCACCAACCACCUGGGAUUGACAUCCGGAAUCCUCCUGUGGUCAGGCAGUGGUGCACCUGUCCCUCUUUCCUGCGAUAUCAUCACAAACCAGGCUUUGCUGCACGUUUUUCAGGAAGGAGCCUGCAGCGGCAUCAACAGGCUGACCAGGCUUGGCCUCAGUCUCGCACAUCAGGCCCCAUGCAGAAGUAGAACUGCACGGAUACUGGCGUCCUGUGUGGCCUCGGAACCUAACGGCAGGAGCUGAGAUUUCAGUUCCAAAUGAAAAGUGACCUCUUGCACACAGCACAGGAAUGUGGAGAGAGGAUUUCUCAGGGCUGGGGCUCUGGAAGAACUGCUUCUGCUGGCUGAAUUCACAGACACCAGGCAGAGGACAUCUGCUGUGCCUCCCCUGAGGAAGCAGGGGGCACAAUAGGCAAGAAUUGAUAAUGCUGCCUGUGGGCUGCUUCCCACCAACCACCCUGCUGAGCCGAGGGCUCGAGAACCAAACAGGAAGCAACUCUCUUGUCACAUCUGCAGCAGGAGGGCUGGCCAGGGAGGAGAGCCCAGUCCCUGUCCCUGUAGCAAGCAGGCCUGCACAUCAUGAGCAACGGUCCACCACCACGGCAUCACAACCUCCCAGCUGUCUGAUCCGACUACCCUGCCAGGCUCAGACCUGCUCACACAGUGAGUCAUAAGACCCAGCAACUUCUUUCCACUCCAGCUCAAUGCUUCUCACAGAGAAGCAAACUCCAGCCUCACAAAUAUGCUCACCAUUAGCUCUGGAAUUCCCUGUAUGGUGUCUACACUGGCCCACACAGGUGUCCCAUCCAGACCACUCCACAAAUACCCUAGGGUUUCAAGCCACUUUCAAACUGCCCUUAGAAAGGCAGGAACUAGCCCGAUUAGGCACACCAGCCAAGUGACUUGAUGUGCUGGAAACUCGGACAACAUCCUCGCUGAACACCAACGCUUCCAAGCCCGAGCUUCAAACCUUCGCUCGCUGGGCAUUGAGCACCAUGUCAGCAUCAACACUGCUCUUUCAAUUCACUUGUCUCCCAUUCCUUAAAAUCAGAAACCAAGCUCCAGUCACCACUCCAUUUUCCCUUCAGAGAAAUAAGGCAAAUGACAGAAUAAAACACUACGUGUGCACAGCACACUUCUAAUCGAAAUAUAAUUCCUUGGUCUUUCUCAUAUGGGCAGCCCUACAUUACCCAUACUAAUGAGAGAGGCCACAAGUUCAAUCAUUAUACAUAUAUUUGACCUUGUGUUUUUCCUUUCGAUAUUUGUAUCUUGAAGUCAAUAUCUAUAUUGUUUUCUUAAAAUAAUAAUAAUAACAAUAAUAAUAAUGACAUGGUCACAUAAGGGUCUGGAUCUCCAUAGCCACACAACAUGGCUCUGGUCCAGAUAAGGGUGAAGACACCACCUCAGCCCAUGAAGCGGAGCCCACACCCUCAGGGAUCACGACACGCCUCAGAGGUGAUGAGUUCCUUUGCUACAUGGAGUUGUCUGAGUACAAAGGAUGCAGGCACCCUCCAGGAUUCCUUCCGUUUUCUUCAUAAAUUCCCCAGCUCAAGUUGCAAAUGACUCACCGGGUCAAGCUUCCAGAGCCCAGGAUGGGCCACCAGGUAAGCAGCCCCCUCAGGGAAGGCUAACAGGGGGCUCGAUUUCCUUUGGGAGCACGAUGCCCCACUCCCCGAGCUCCUAAAGAACCUACACUCCUCCAUGUGUCCCUCUCACAAAGGGCAUGGCACCCUGUUACAGCCCUGAGGCUGUGUUUUACUUUAAAACAUAAUUUCUAAUAUCGGAAUGUGGUUCAUGGAAGAGGAAAACAUGAACACUCACCAAGGAUUCUCAUAAUAUUUCAGAAGAUUGUUUUCCCAUUGUUUAAUUAAAAUGGGAAAUAAAAACACACAGAUAGCCCCUUCCACUAGCA
rnacentral:lncRNA from 1 species